AGGAUAGAGGCGCAGCUGUCAUCAGUAGACCCGGCGCAGGAGGCAUCGCAAAGCCGCUGCCGGGGGUGAAAGGGGCCGCUGCCGAAGAGGGAGAGGGCGAGCUUCCUCUGGGCAAACGGAGAACAUCCGCUUGACUGUCGCGAUUGCGCGGGGCGCUAUGG
rnacentral:ncRNA from 1 species